UGAUUAUAGUCGUGCAACUUCGUUUGCUCCAUCGCGUAUUUAAAAGUUUGAUCGUGGAGAAGGACAUUUCUGGAGCAGCCAUUUCGGUGUAAUACAAUAAUAAAAGAAAGAAGAAAAUAUUGAUAGGCACAAUUAUAUUAUUCAGAAACCUGUUUGAAAAGCAUGCUGUCGCUAUUGAUAAUGUAAAAUUUAUUUUUGUUUAGCUGGCGGUAAAUAUCAAUAAAAACGCAGUUUAUUAAAGUGCCUAUGGGAGUAAAUUUCAUAUCACCAUGCAAGUGUCAAAAAAAAGCAACCGAACAGAACAUGAAAAAGAAUCGAAUUAUUGUAUAAUUCGUUAGAAAUAUGGGAUCAUAUAUAUUGUACG
rnacentral:sRNA from 1 species